UACAGAGGUCUCAAGCGUUGUUCGGAUUCAUUGGGCGUAAAGGGUGCGUAGGUGGCGUUGUAAGUCAGAUGUGAAAUCUCCGAGCUUAACUCGGAAACUGCAUUUGAUACUGCAUCGCUUGAGGAUUGUAGAGGGCAUUGGAAUUCACGGUGUAGCAGUGAAAUGCGUAGAUAUCGUGAGGAAGACCAGUGGCGAAGGCGAAUGCCUGGGCAAUUCCUGACACUGAGGCACGAAGGCCAGGGGAGCAAAC
rnacentral:rRNA from 1 species